GGCAGAUCAAACGGGCAGCACCACUUCAGAGGGCCAGCGACGCCUGCAGCAACCGGUUGAUGCCCUGGUAUCUUUGAAUUUUGUCCCAAAUCAUAGUCAGUCAGGAAUGCUACAAACUUCCUCACAGGAGGCAGUCCUUGCCAGCAGAGAGAACACCACUGGAAUUCCCAAGAACCACCCAGACAGGUCACAGUGCAGGGUCACUGUUUCAUGCUGCUCAUCUGCUC